rnacentral:rRNA from 1 species
UACGUAGGGUGCAAGCGUUGUCCGGAAUUAUUGGGCGUAAAGAGCUCGUAGGCGGUCUGUCGCGUCGGCUGUGAAAACCCGGGGCUCAACUCCGGGCCUGCAGUCGAUACGGGCAGACUAGAGUGCGGUAGGGGAGACUGGAAUUCUGGUGUAGCGGUGAAAUGCGCAGAUAUCAGGAGGAACACCGGUGGCGAAGGCGGGUCUCUGGGCCGUAACUGACGCUGAGGAGCGAAAGCGUGGGGAGCGAACAGG